rnacentral:rRNA from 1 species
UACGGAGGAUGCGAGCGUUAUCCGGAUUUAUUGGGUUUAAAGGGUGCGUAGGCGGAUCGUUAAGUCAGUGGUCAAAUUGAGGGGCUCAACCUCUUCCCGCCGUUGAAACUGGUGGUCUUGAGUGGAUGAGAAGUACGCGGAAUGCGUGGUGUAGCGGUGAAAUGCAUAGAUAUCACGCAGAACUCCGAUUGCGAAGGCAGCGUACCGGCAUCCAACUGACGCUGAGGCACGAAAGCGUGGGGAUCAAACAGG